rnacentral:rRNA from 1 species
GAUGAACGCUGGCGGCGUGCUUAACACAUGCAAGUCGAGCGAAGCACUUAGGAAAGAUUCUUCGGAUGAUUUCCUAUUUGACUGAGCGGCGGACGGGUGAGUAACGCGUGGGUAACCUGCCUCAUACAGGGGGAUAACAGUUAGAAAUGACUGCUAAUACCGCAUAAGACCACAGCACCGCAUGGUGCAGGGGUAAAAACUCCGGUGGUAUGAGAUGGACCCGCGUCUGAUUAGUUAGUUGGUGGGGUAACGGCCUACCAAGGCGACGAUCAGUAGCCGACCUGAGAGGGUGACCGGCCACAUUGGGACUGAGACACGGCCCAAACUCCUACGGGAGGCAGCAGUGGGGAAUAUUGCACAAUGGGGGAAACCCUGAUGCAGCGACGCCGCGUGAGCGAAGAAGUAUUUCGGUAUGUAAAGCUCUAUCAGCAGGGAAGAAAAUGACGGUACCUGACUAAGAAGCCCCGGCUAACUACGUGCCAGCCGCCGCGGUAAUAC